UACGUAUGGUGCAAGCGUUAUCCGGAUUUACUGGGUGUAAAGGGAGUGUAGGUGGUCUGACAAGUCAGAGGUGAAAGCCCGGGGCUCAACCCCGGGACUGCCUUUGAAACUGUCAGACUAGAGUGCAGGAGAGGUAAGUGGAAUUCCUAGUGUAGCGGUGAAAUGCGUAGAUAUUAGGAGGAACACCAGUGGCGAAGGCGGCUUACUGGACUGUAACUGACACUGAGGCUCGAAAGCGUGGGGAGCAAACAGGAUUAGAUACC
rnacentral:rRNA from 1 species